AACGGUGCCGUCCUAACCCGACUUCCCGAAGGUGCCCAGUGAGUGUAAGGGGGAGGAGUACAGUGCGUCGGAUACAUCUGUUGAUAAAAGUGAAUUUUAAAGAGGCUUAUUAGCUCUAAGAUGACGUGAAGAAGUGACAUGACAUGUCUAAGUGACCGCAGAUUCCAGAAUGAGUCUCCAUCUUAGCGGUCUCAGUGGCUGCUUUGUGUGGGUUUUGCCCUGACAGAUGCUGAACGCGACAAGACGUGCAAAAUGCUGUAGUAAAAUUCAUAGUAAGAUGAGACUGCGGAAACUACUGCUGCUGCUGCCGCCACCGCCUCCUCCUCCUCCUCCUCCAGCGUCACUUCGUGUGUGGGUGUCCCCGUAAAGUGUCCCUGGAGGGCUGCGGACACCCCCUCCUCCCAGGGACAUCAGGGGGCCCGGCCGGCUAGUCUCGUCUCUCGCCGUCUCUCGUCUCGUCUCCCGGUGCUCUCUUGCCGAACGUGUCUCGUCUGUUGGAGUCUCGGAGUCUCACACUUUUUUUCUUUUUUCGCUCCGCGUCGAGGAACUCUCUUCUCUUCAUUAUUUUUCCUUUUUGUUUCUCUUUGAGGAAGGUCCAGUUACAAAUCUAUUAAGGAGAAGAUUUAUUAUUUAUUCAUCCAUAGUUAUUACACGAGAAGAUAAGCGUAAUCGUGAUUGAAAAUAGUUUAAAAAGAAAAGAAAAUAAGGGACUUUCCGAGUGCUAGAAAUCCAUCUCUUUAUCGACGAGUCCAAGACAAUUCAGUCAUCGAACUCGGUCGGUUGAGUAAGACAAGGUGCUGAGACUCCUUUCAAGUCACGUCCGAGAUCCUCCUCUUCCUCCUCCUCCUCCUCCUCCUCCUCCUCCUCCUCCUCCUCCUCCUCUUCCUUCGCCUCUUCCUUCGACGCGUCUGCUUUGAGCGAAGGAUCCCAGUUGCUUUAGGGCUGAGACGUCCUACUUGAAAGAAUAGAGAAGAAUAGGAAAAGAAACGGCAUUCAGGAGGAGAGGAAAAGAGAUUGGAAGUAAAGAAGAGGAGAGAAGAGAAAAGUAGAGAAAGAAGGAAAAGUGAAAUAAAAGGGAAGUAAAGAAGGAGAAGAAUAAACAACAAAGAAGGAAAGAAAAUAAGUGAAGAGAGACAAAGAAGGAGAGAAAAGAAGUGAAUAGAGACAAAGAAGGAGAGAAAAGAAGUGAAUAGAGACAAAGAAGGAGAGAAAAAGGAGUGAAUAGAGACACUGAAAGGAAAUGGAAUGAAAUUGAUUCGUUUUGUUUACACGAGAGAGUGAAAUCAGCUGGAACCCCGAGGGCCGCUCGAUCAGACCUCGACCAGAAGAGAAAGAGAGAGAGAGAGAGAGAAAGAGAGAAAGACAGUGUAUUGUUUUCGUCUUCGCGUGAAUUUCAACCCAACGCGAGCGGAUUUUCGCUAAACAAGACGCUAAAUAUCCCUCCAGAAGAAAGUCUGUGUGGAAUAUAUAAAAAAAGAGAGAGAGAAAUAAAAAAAAACAAUAACAGUGCUACAUAGAAAGGGAAUAAUUACUGAUAGAUACAAAAAUACAAUCUAAGGUUCAUGAUAAAGUCUUCCUUUUGAAUUCAUCUGUGAGUGUAGAACAUCCGUCCCCACGCCCUGCCCUUUCAUUGGUCCGUUCCCUGGCAUAGUCGUGCUGAUAAGAACCUUUAUUCUUCUAAGUUGUUCGAGAUAGAUUUUAUAGCUUUAUCUAUCUAUCUAUCUAUAUACAUAUAUGUGUGUGUGUGAAGAUAAGUGAAUAUAUACUCUACCCUCAUACCUUGAUGCUAUUUUAAAAGGUGCCCCUGAGUCCGUCCCUUGUUAUUAUCUUAUCGGUGUUUGUGAUUCGUUGGGUCAAAGUUCAGACAUCGGAGGAAGACCACUCAAGCAAGAGGAACAAACAAACAAGCAAAUAAAGUCUUCCUGGACGAGCCUCUUUCGCAGCCGAAACGGUUGAUAAAGAACAAGGAAAAGAUCCAAACGGAAUUGUAAGAAUUCAAGUCCUUUACUGCAAAGGAGCUUCUUUGUGAACCAGCUCCAACUUCCACCGCGUCCGACCUCCACCUCAAAUCCCACCACUUGUUCCAGCCGCUCCACCUAACUCCACCCAACCCCACAUAACCCCACACAACCUAACUCCACUACCCACUCCACCUAUCCACACCACCUAACCCCACUCAACCCAACUCCACAUCACCCAAACCCCACAACACCCCAACCCCACACCACCCACACCACACCACCCACCUCCACAUCCACCCACCACCCACACCACACCACCCACCCAAACGAAGCCAAGAUGACCACCAUCGAGUCAUCCCUCGUGCUAAGUCUCGACCGUCUGGCACAAGCGGCCUCGAGACCCGCCGAGAACGUGGAGGCGCUGAAGACCAUCGUGGCGAGGAUCCAUUCGAGGCUCAAGGUGCAAGGUAAGGAGGGAAG
rnacentral:lncRNA from 1 species